ACUCCUGCGGGAGGCAGCAGUGGGGAAUUUUGGACAAUGGGCGAAAGCCUGAUCCAGCAAUGCCGCGUGCAGGAUGAAGGCCUUCGGGUUGUAAACUGCUUUUGUACGGAACGAAAAAGCUCCUUCUAAUACAGGGGGCCCAUGACGGUACCGUAAGAAUAAGCACCGGCUAACUACGUGCCAGCAGCCGCGGUAAUACGUAGGGUGCGAGCGUUAAUCGGAAUUACUGGGCGUAAAGCGUGCGCAGGCGGUUAUGUAAGACAGAUGUGAAAUCCCCGGGCUCAACCUGGGAACUGCAUUUGUGACUGCAUGGCUAGAGUACGGUAGAGGGGGAUGGAAUUCCGCGUGUAGCAGUGAAAUGCGUAGAUAUGCGGAGGAACACCGAUGGCGAAGGCAAUCCCCUGGACCUGUACUGACGCUCAUGCACGAAAGCGUGGGGAGCAAACAGGAUUAGAAACCCGUGUAGUCCC
rnacentral:rRNA from 1 species